rfam:Pristionchus pacificus strain PS312 contig2687, whole genome shotgun sequence.
UCUUCAUUUUGCGUGCUCUCUCACCGGUCAGAGUGGCGAGAGACCACGUGAAAUGAAGAGA